GAUGAACGCUGGGGGCGUGCCUAAUACAUGCAAGUCGAGCGAACAGACGAGGAGCUUGCUCCUCUGACGUUAGCGGCGGACGGGUGAGUAACACGCGGAUAACCUACCUAUAAGACUGGGAUAACUUCGGGAAACCGGAGCUAAUACCGGAUAAUAUAUUGAACCGCAUGGUUCAAUAGUGAAAGACGGUUUUGCUGUCACUUAUAGAUGGAUCCGCGCCGCAUUAGCUAGUUGGUAAGGUAACGGCUUACCAAGGCAACGAUGCGUAGCCGACCUGAGAGGGUGAUCGGCCACACUGGAACUGAGACACGGUCCAGACUCCUACGGGAGGCAGCAGUAGGGAAUCUUCCGCAAUGGGCGAAAGCCUGACGGAGCAACGCCGCGUGAGUGAUGAAGGUCUUCGGAUCGUAAAACUCUGUUAUUAGGGAAGAACAAAUGUGUAAGUAACUAUGCACGUCUUGACGGUACCUAAUCAGAAAGCCACGGCUAACUACGUG
rnacentral:rRNA from 1 species